rnacentral:misc_RNA from 1 species
AAGUCGUAACAAGGUUUCCGUAGGUGAACCUGCGGAAGGAUCAGUAGAGAAAACUGGAUCUUCGGAUCCGAUCUACCCCACACACACCUGUGAACCGUUUAUAUGUCUGACGGCCUCGGCCCGAAGGCUACUUUACAAAACAUCUGUAACAAGUCAUGAACGUCAUUAGUUAUAUUUUAACAAAAAUAAAACUUUCAACAACGGAUCUCUUGGCUCCCA